rnacentral:rRNA from 1 species
AUGGCUGAAGCUUUGGUGUUAAAAUUUGGCCUAUCGCUAGCGCAAAGGACGGGUUGUAAUCGCAUAAUUAUUAACUCGGAUAAUAUGGAGGUGAUCGAGACCAUGAACGAAGGAGGACGAUCAUCGGGGGCAGCAGCUGCAAUUUUUGAUGACUGUUUUCAUUUAGCUUGCGAUUUUCCUAUUUCUAGAUUCGAGCAUUGUAAUAGAGAAGCAAAUAAAGUUGCUCAUGAACUUGCCAAGUUGGUUAGAUUUUCAUUCAUUUCUGAUUGGUUUGAGGAACCACAUAAUGCAAUUGUACCAAUCCUCAUAAACGAUGUAAUGAUUAUUUCUAAUGAAUAA